rnacentral:misc_RNA from 1 species
GAUGAAGAACGUAGCGAAAUGCGAUAAGUAAUGUGAAUUGCAGAAUUCAGUGAAUCAUUGAAUCUUUGAACGCACAUUGCGCCCCCUGGUAUUCCGGGGGGCAUGCCUGUCCGGGCGUCAUUACAACCCUCAAGCUCAGCUUGGUGUUGGGCCCCGCCGCCCCGGCGGGCCCUAAAGUCAGUGGCGGUGCCGUCCGGCUCCGAGCGUAGUAAUUCUUCUCGCUCUGGAGGUCCGGUCGUGUGCUCGCCAGCAACCCCCAAUUUUUUUCAGGUUGACCUCGGAUCAGGUAGGGAUACCCGCUGAACUUAAGCAUAUCAAUAAGCGGAGGA